AUUGAACGCUGGCGGCAGGCCUAACACAUGCAAGUCGAGCGAGCGGCGGACGGGUGAGUACUGUCUGGGAAACUGCCUGAUGGAGGGGGCUAACUACUGGAAACGGUAGCUAAUACCGCAUACCAUCAGAUGUGCCCAGAUGGGAUUAGCUAGUGGGUGGGGUAACGGCUCACCUAGGCGACGAACCCUAGCUGGUCUGAGAGGGUGACCGGCAAAACUGGAAGUGGGACACGGUCCAGACUCCUACGGAAGGCAGCAGUGGGGAAUAUUGACAAAUGGGCGCAAGCCUGAUGCAGCCAUGCCGCGUGUAUGAAGAAGGCCUUCGGGUUGUAAAGUACUUUCAGCGGGGAGGCGUUACCCGCAGAAGAAGCACCGGCUAACUCCGUGCCAGCAGCCGCGGUAAUUC
rnacentral:rRNA from 1 species